UAAAGACAGCUCAGCAACAACAAGCACAUCCAGCCUUCCAUCAAACUUCAAAGGGUUUGGAUUCUUCAACAGAUAGAUCCUCUCGAGAAGGAGGAGAUGAUGGACACUAUCCAGCCACAUACAUCCCCCUAUUAAUGACGAUGACGAAGCCUUGGAUUCGAGGACAAAUCCUUUUUCAAGAGGGAGGGGAUGAUGGAAGAGGCCCUGGCACCAAUCCACUAAUAGGCCACCAAAAUGUCAAAUUGAGGCAACCACUAGAGUUAUGGUCAAAGAGGGGUCAAGAGGAUACAUUUUACAUGUCAUAAACUCUAGUGUAGAAUAGUUUUUACAUUUUUGUCAAAAGUAACAUAGUUUAAUUCUUUUGUAUUUUUGUUGAAACAUGCAAAGUGGUACCUAAAAUGCUAACCUAAGUUUAAUUAGAGUUUCCUACUCCUAAUUAAACUUAGGUCCAACCCACAUUUAGCCUAAGUGGAGCGUAAGGUUCUAGAUCUCCUAGCACAUGGAAGAAUUCUAGAACCUACCUCACAUGUGCUGAAUUUAGGAGUCACCUUCCCAUGUGCCAACAUUUGAAUUUCCCUCCAAUUCUCUUUUCAUAUUCAGCCUUCUCUUGCUAUAUAUAGAGGAGCUUGGGUCAUGUAAAUUCAAGAUUAAUACUUUAGUGAAUUGCUGCCAAAAUUGUGUCAAUUUCACUUCUUGCCCAAAACCUCCUAGGUUAGGCUUUUAAUCUUCGCAAACUUUCCCUUUCCAAGUAGAGUUGGCCUCACCACUCUCAAAUCCUACCUCUCAUGCACCUUCAAGGUCACCAUCACUCUUAGGAGGACCUUGUUCCAUCUUCAAUCCGUGAAGCUUCCGCAACUCAUCAAGAAAUCCGAAAAUAUGAAGGCACAUCUCCAUCAAAGUCUUUCCUAGCCAUAACUUAUCUCAAUGCACUUCACAAAUCUCCUUCAAAUGAAAACUUCUUCAACACAAACAAAGAGUUUUCUAAAGAAAGAAACUAAAAGAAAGCUUUUAAAAACUAAGAAUUUAAAUUGCAAAAAUUUAAACAAGACGACUCCUAAUGGUGAGGCUUGUUGGCACUUAUGAACCUUCAAGCCACACUCACCGUCUAAAGCGUGUAUCUAAUAAGAAAAUUAAAGAAAUUUGUAAGAGAUGGAAGAACACCAAAGGCUCUUCCAGGACACCUAAAGUAAAGAUAAUGGCCAAAUUACAAAACAAUUGAAAUCACACAAAAUUUUAAAAAAUAAUAUUCAAAGUUCUUUUCUGUUCUGUUCUCUCACAAGUGUUUCUCUGCAAGCCUUUACUUGUUUGUCCUCCAAAGGUGAGUACCUCUUGCAAAGUCCUUUGCCUUCUCUUAGGAUGCUACCUAGAAAUUAGCUCAAUUUUCACAAAGAACAAAUUCAAGGUAUAUUACACUUCAAGAGGUUAAUAAUAAAAGUAAUAAAAGUUCAAUUUGAAGAGUGAAACUCAAAGGAGAUUAGAGAUGACAAACACAAAGAUUAUCUCAAGACAAGCAAGAAAUUAAAGGUUUUCAAGAAAGCACUCAAAAGAAAACACCUAAAGAUAGACACUAAAAUGGAUUACAAAAUUAAAAUAAAGAAUGACCAAAUUUCUUAGUAAAGCAUGAAAUCCAAAAUGUUGCUGGUCCCAUGUAGAUUGGUCCAAAGAAUUCAAUUCCCGCAAGUCCCGCGCUAAAGAAUCUCCAAUUGCCAAAUUUCUCACCAAAAUUUAGGCUCCCUUAUUCAACAAAUUGAAUUUAACUUUAAAGAAUGGGUCCCACAGUGUGAUUGCAAAUUCCAAUAACUGCCAAUACACACUUCUAAUUACUCAACACAACCAAUUUUUUUAGUUAAAAGCACCUACAAUCACGCUUUCAGCACACGCUUCAGCUUUCACCAAUUUAGCUUAUACAUUUGCUUUCACUGAUUCUACUUUAAUUUCUUCAAUUAAUUGCGCACCUUGCUAGUACUUAAUUCACGCUGCACCUUCGACACACCAUUUCUCAUCAAAUUCUUCAAAUUCACGGACCCCACAAUUCACUGCAUCAGCUUCAAUCAAUUUGCAAUUCACAAAUUGAAUUCAAAUGCAGACAUACUCCUUUUUUAAAUUAAAAACUGCACCAAAAUGAUCAACAAUUUCAACCAAUUUGCAAUUCAAGAUGAUCACUGCACCAACAAAAACUAGAAAAUUGCAACUGCAGAAAAUUUGUCACCGUUUGAAUUCAAUCUCACAAUUUAUUUUUUAAAUACCAAUUCUAAUCACCAAUUCUCGGUCCAUCACUUCACGAAUAGCUCCUUCAAUACUUUUAUCAAACAGUUGACACACACACCUUAAUGCAUUAAACACUUGCACUCAACACCAAAUUCAUGCAAUCCAAAUCAUUUCGUGGCACAACUCAGAGCUUCAAUCAUGGUGGAUUGCACUCGUGAAGCCAAAUUUUGGAACAGAUCCACCUUAAUUGUUCUUCCGUUUCCAAACGAUUCUCAAUCAAUCAACCAAUUUCAUUCGCCAAUAAUUUCCAGAACCGUAAAUUCAGAAUUUCAAGGAGAACCGCACAACUAUUUUACUGAUAUUCAGCUGCACCGUUAAAUUGAUUAAGUGCAAAACUUCAAUUGCUAUGCUCACUGAAUAUAUCAAGCGUGUAAACUGUUUGUUAGAAAGCUUCAAAGAAAUUUUAAUUUGUAGAAAAUACAAGAAUUGAUUCUAAUCAGAAUUUUUUUUGAAACAUCUUUAUCAAAUGAAUUAAACUUUCAAACUCAGUGUAAUGCCGAAUUCAUCUGAUUUUUCAUAUGUAUGAAUUGUACCUUUUAAUCACGAAUAAACAAUUCCAGCAAAUGCUCAAUCGGUACAUCAGCAGAAAUUCUUCAGCGCCUUUCAAAUCGCGAUUCACUCAUUCGUCACUGCUUUGCUUCAUCAAAUUAAACCCGAUCAAGAUCAAUGUUUUGCUUCGAAAUCAACAUCUACUUCAGUCAUCUUCAACAUUUCGCCAGAAUGUGAAACUUAAUCCGCGAACGAUUAUAAUUCCUUUGAGAAUGCUCUUCGUUUGAGAUGACGAAGUUAAUCGGUCAGUUCUCCGUGCACUGAUUCUGUUUGUCGGAAAACCACUAAAACCUAUGUUCGCGAUUCUUCCAACACCUCAAUGUUUCUCCGUUUUGCUUCUUCACAGUUGCUCCAGGAAAACGAAGAACAAUGAACGCAAAAGGCAGAACCAAAAUUUUCGGAAUCGGAAUUGAAAGCAGAAGAAGAACUUACAUGAACCAAUUCCGACUAAGCACGAAAGGAACCGAAACUUUAGAUUCUGUUUUCUGACUUCCUAUUCCAGAUUCAAAUUCUCCUCCGGCGCCGUUCGCAGUUGAAGACGAAAUCAUACUCCCGAAGUCUUGUAGUGCGAAAACUGUGGAAGCGUCGCGCACCAAUUUCACUCACACUGGACUUGUUCCGAUUCCAAUUUCAUGAACACUCAGAAGAUGAAGAACAGCAACACAAAUCGCAGAGAAAAUUUGAGGAAAAUCUGAAAAUCUAAACCAAAUCUGCUAUUGGCAGCGCAGAUCCAACAAUUUUCAUAAACAGUUCACAUUACUGCUCACACCACUUGAUUUUCUUUUUGAACCACGAAAAAUUUUCGGACAAAUUUCGAGAACUUUCGAAAAUGAUUUUUGAAGAGAAUGAUAAUGGAAAGCUAACUCAAAGAAAAUUGUUGAUGAUCUAGUAGCAAUUUAUG
rnacentral:lncRNA from 1 species